UUUACUCAACUUGUUUGUCUUUUAUUAUAUAAGCCAACCCCGUUUUUUGUAGAGUAGACCUCCACUAAAGUCUUCCAGCCGUCUACAUUCUCAGCACCAACUGAACCACCCGAGCCCAAAGAUGUUCACCUUGAAGAAAUCCCUGUUACUCCUUUUCUUCCUUGGGACCAUCAACUUAUCUCUCUGUGAGGAAGAGAGAGAUGCCGAUGAA